GUAGGUGAACCUGCGGAAGGAUCAUUACUGAGGUUUCCUGGCGCACGCUGGGGAUACCCGACCUAUUGUCAUGUGCACGUGUUGGGGAGGAACGGUGGCGAGCAGCGUGUGGCUUGGGAUGGACCGUACCCGAGAGGGAGGAUCUGGACCGGCCCGCGUUGCCGCUGGCGCCCCGAAACGAACCCUUAACUUUGGCGGAAGAGGUAGGCUGGACCUGCCCGCCGCCGGCCGUAACUUAUUUUACUCUCACAAGGAGAAUCUGAAGCCUGAUGUACCAAACACAAAAUGAAAAGCAAAACUUUCAACAACGGAUCUCUUGGCUCUG
rnacentral:misc_RNA from 1 species